rnacentral:RNase_P_RNA from 1 species
UUGAGUAAUCGCGCCUGGCUAUUGUCAGGUGAGGAAAGUCCAUGCCCGCACAAGCUGUGAUGCUUGUAGUGUUCGUGUCAGGCCCAAUAAGCCUGAGUACCUUCGGGUAACGGCGACUAAAAGCGCUAAAACUUCGGUCACGCGUGAUUAAGUCUGAAAGUGCCACAGAGACGAUGCCCUUGAGAAAUCAAGGGAUUGGAACGGGUAAACCCCGCGAGCGAGUAACCCAAACUUUGGUAGGGGCGCAAGGCCUAGGGAACUGAACCGAUGGCCCUAACAGCGUAAGCUGAGAUAGAUGAUUACUGAAGGCUGGAUGGCCUGACAUCCAGCUGGAACAAAACAUGGCUUAUAG